rnacentral:rRNA from 2 species
UAUCAAUAAGCGGAGGAAAAGAAACCAACAGGGAUUGCCCUAGUAACGGCGAGUGAAGCGGCAACAGCUCAAAUUUGAAAUCUGGCGUCUUUGGCGUCCGAGUUGUAAUUUGCAGAGGGCGCUUUGGCAUUGGCAGUGGUCCAAGUUCCUUGGAACAGGACGUCACAGAGGGUGAGAAUCCCGUACGUGGUCGCUAGCCUUUACCGUGUAAAGCCCCUUCGACGAGUCGAGUUGUUUGGGAAUGCAGCUCUAAAUGGGAGGUAAAUUUCUUCUAAAGCUAAAUACUGGCCAGAGACCGAUAGCGCACAAGUAGAGUGAUCGAAAGAUGAAAAGCACUUUGGAAAGAGAGUUAAAAAGCACGUGAAAUUGUUGAAAGGGAAGCGCUUGCAGCCAGACUUGCCUGUAGUUGCUCAUCCGGGUUUCUACCCGGUGCACUCUUCUAUAGGCAGGCCAGCAUCAGUUUGGGCGGUUGGAUAAAGGUCUCUGUCAUGUACCUCCUCUCGGGGAGAACUUAUAGGGGAGACGACAUGCAACCAGCCUGGACUGAGGUCCGCGCAUCUGCUAGGAUGCUGGCGUAAUGGCUGUAAGCGGCCCGUCUUGAAACACGGACCAAGGAGUCUAACAUCUAUGCGAGUGUUUGGGUGUCAAGCCCGAACGCGUAAUGAAAGUGAACGGAGGUGGGAACCUUUCGGGGUGCACCAUCGACCGAUCCUGAUGUCUUCGGAUGGAUUUGAGUAAGAGCAUAGCUGUUGGGACCCGAAAGAUGGUGAACUAUGCUUGAAUAGGGUGAAGCCAGAGGAAACUCUGGUGGAGGCUCCCACCGGUUCUGACGUGCAAAUCGAUCGUCAAAUUUGGGCAUAGGGGCGAAAGACUAAUCGAACUAUCUAGUACCUGGUUCCUG